GCUCGCCGCCAGAGGUCUCCUGCGCAGCCGCACCGCCCGCCAUAUUGUGUUUGCCACUUGUUGUUUUCACAGCUCGCGCGCCGUUUCGCCGUGUUUUGUGCCAGUUUUCUACCAGUUAAUACCAACCAGCAAUGAUGAACGGCGAUAACGACGAUGUUGGAGGCUACCUGAACCCUGGAACAAAGGUAAGCCCUAAACUGUAAAGGUGUACAUUACAAUACCUUGCUAGUAGCAGCAAAGGGAGAGUUGGAUCGGUACCCCUCACCCCCCUUGUGUAUUAUGAAGAGGCCCUUCAGCGAAAACCCCCACGCUACCCCCUCCUCCCUUGCUACCCCCGACGAAGAAAUGCAUCAAAUACAGGUGAGUAUCAACCAGAUAGGGG
rnacentral:lncRNA from 1 species